rfam:Schistosoma rodhaini strain Burundi genome assembly, scaffold: SROB_scaffold0001903
AUCCAGUUGACGAGCCCCAAAUAGAACGAAACGCGUGUCCUGGAU